rnacentral:rRNA from 1 species
GAAUUGACGGGACCCGCACAGCGGUGGAUGAUGUGGAUUAAUUCGAUGAACGCGAAAAACCUUACCUACCCUUGACAUGCCAGGAACUUGGUAGAGAUACCUUGGUGCCCGAAAGGGAGCCUGGACACAGGUGCUGCAUGGCUGUCGUCAGCUCGUGUCGUGAGAUGUUGGGUUAAGUCCCGCAACGAGCGCAACCCUUGUCACUAGUUGCUACGCGAGGGCACUCUAGUGAGACUGCCGGUGACAAACCGGAGGAAGGUGGGGAUGACGUCAAGUCCUCAUGGCCCUUAUGGGUAGGGCUUCACACGUCAUACAAUGGUCGGUACAGAGGGUUGCCAAGCCGCGAGGUGGAGCCAAUCCCAGAAAGCCGAUCGUAGUCCGGAUUGCAGUCUGCAACUCGACUGCAUGAAGUCGGAAUCGCUAGUAAUCGCGGAUCAGCAUGUCGCGGUGAAUACGUUCCCGGGUCUUGUACACACCGCCCGUCACACCAUGGGAGUGGGGUUCACCAGAAGUAGGUAGCCUAACCGCGAGGAGGGCGCUUACCACGGUGAGCUUCAUGACUGGGGUGAAGUCGUAACAAGGUA